ensembl:lncRNA
GCCAGAGCGGUUUCAAACUUCGAAAACUGCGCUCUGAUCGCGGGAACGUACAGACUCGUGCCGCCUCGAGUCCGAUUCUCGGAGCAGGUGUCAGGCGCCCGGCUACUGCUGUGCUGUGGGCACGGCCCGUGACGGUUCUGACGAGCAGCUGGGUAGAGCUCCGGGGGCUGCAGCCACCGAGCUCAGUAAUUUCCUUUAAAAGCAACAUAAUCAGGUGUGUUUUCCCGAUUACAGACAAGUUGAGUUCUUCAGAUGUGCAUUAAACUUAAGACAGAUGUGUGCGGCCUUGCAGUAUUACAUACCGCAUUCAUACGUAGGAAUCAAGUAUGGCCGGUGUGUGAUGGCCCGCUGAGGGCUGGGAUGCUGGUGCUGCUAACAAGGGUUAGUGAUUUGGAACCCUCUUCCCAAACCUAUUUCCCACUUUUCAUACAUCAGCGAUGCAUAGAAUGCAAGUUUAGGUCACGGUGUAACUGAUUCUCCUUCUCGGAGUGCUCAGUCGAGUUGCCAGUUUUGAGUUCCAACCAAAUCCAUACACAACGUGGCUCUGUCUGUUCUGACACAGGUACUUUAAAAGCAUUUCUCUCUCCAGUGCCAGUGUUGGAGCGUGUUUCUGCAGCUGGCAGGACACCUGGGACAAGGGGGCAGAGAUCUGUGCUUAGGGGUGAGCAGCGGAGUCAGCCUUUAGUAGCCCAUGGCCCUGGGUAUUGGAGGGAACUGUUGGGGACAGUCACGGCCUCCCCGUUGCCAUACUGGCUGACACAUGGGGUACUGACAGACACCGAGAGGUUUGCAAGUCUCAGUGUUCAGUCUGCUUUUCUGUUCAGCCCCCUGUGCUUGGUUUGUCAUUUUAAUCAUGGAGGUACGGGCUGGAAUUUUUGGCAGUUAUUGUUAUCGGUGAUAAUCAUCUAUCAUCUCAGCAUUGGCUUGGGGUCUAUUUGUGUUCUCACUCAGCAAUUACAUUUUAUGCUUGGAAGUGAUUGCUAAAAUGCUUACUUUCCAACACUGAUUCUUUUCCUGUGCAGCACAAAAUUAGACUGUUUUGUGGAAGCAGAAAUGCUUGGUAGUGGUAGGACUCUGUGCGCUUGCCUAGCAUGCCAUUGCAAGGACAAUCAGCAUGGAAAACCAGGACUUUGAGCUCUGCAUCUCUGCUUGAUCUUGACUUGCUGGUUGAUACCAGGAGCUGCUUCCCAGAUCCUCUUGAUUUGGUUCGAGAAGUUAGAAUUACCUGUAAUCAUUGGUAAACCAAAAGUCCCGAAUGGAGAACAAUGACAGGCGCCCACCGAGAAGUCAUCAUUUCAAAAACAUCCAGCUCCCCCCUGUGCUUUGGGAUGUGAAAGAAUGACGUUGGCAGAUAGAGGCCUCAAGUUCCUCUCGGAUGCAUCUGGACCAUUUUAUUAGGGAGUCCACUGAGCCUGUGAUCAGCCUGAGUGCAGCUGAUGGUGAGCAGCGCCAAGGUGUGGUACUGAGCUGCUGAUCAAAUUGGUGUAUUUCAGAAGACCUGAAAAAAUUAGAUGAUUGAAACAUCACUCGUAAGCCACAGCUUCGCCAUGAGGACUUUAGGAAAAGCAUGGCUGCACAGAGUACCUUCACCAGCAAUCUUCCAGCCUCCGACAAAACUAUUGUUCUUGAAGGUAACUGUGGGUGGUCUUCCUUUGUCUGAUUUCUAGAAAUUCGGUACAUCACUUUCUAGUUAUGCAGCUGAUACUCGUGUUUGUAUGAAUGACCAUUUAAAAAAGGAAAGAUCAGAUGUUUGUUGUUGCAUUUCAACAUAAAUCAAACUUUGUAUUCGCAUUGCAAUUCUAGUUUAGCCCCAGGAAUAGCUUUAGUAUUGCUAAGUGUCUGGAGAGUAUUGACUACAGAGACAUGGUUAUAAGCAGGCUAUAAUAGUUUCUACAGCUGUUAACAGUUCAUAGAAGAAAGGCAGCAUUAUUCAUCAGUGUUUAAAAUGUGCAUGACUUGCAUUGCACAGAAGUCAGAUUGGGAGAAUGUCAGAUUUUUUUUCUGAGAUUCUGCCAGGAAAGUCUUCAAUAACUGGAGAAAUUCUUUUCACUGGUGAAAUCAACAUGCAGCACAUUGUGUUAUUAUAAUUGCUUAUAGCUCACCAUGAAAGUUGUCUUUGUAUGUGUGGAUGUACGGCUUGUACUGUUUUGUUUUUAUUUAUUCUGCAUUCUCUAUUAUAAUGUUCUUUCCUUUUUUCCAGACCAGAAAGAUUGUUAUUGAGCUUUCCACAAAGCUGAAAUAAUGCUGUGUGUUAAAAAAAUGUUAACAAUUUGAAGAAGUUAUAAAAAUUUAUAAGUUGACUGAAUACUUUGGAAAUUUCUGCAUAUUUUAAUAUAAAUAGAAAAUCAAAGAAAUCGUGGAAAAUGGAGGAGUUAUUUCAGAUGCAUUUGGUGCAGUGAUGAGCUCAAACUUUAUUCAAAACUAUUAUGGUAAAAUAGAACAAGAAGAUACAAAAGAGAGAAAGAAGGAGUAGAAAGUGGUGGAAGGGAAGAGCCUCUGGACUGGUUCUCCUGCUCUGCAGCACAGUUACUUGCCUUUCUCGUUGAGGCUCUUGGUCAUCCCAUCUACCACGGUCAAGAAGACUGCCACAUACAGAUACGGUGAUCAGUAUGUCUGGUCCAGUUUGAAUGCCCUGUCCUGGAGUGGGAAGCAAGUUCUGCACUGUAUGUGGAUGAAGUUAAUCAGUUUGCAGUAACAAAGUGUUGGAAGGGACUUCAAGAGCUUAUCUAUACAGAGCUGGCCAGCCUGUGCCUUGGAGGUGUGUGCAGUAUUGAGCAUUUCAGGGAUGCCUCUCACGUUUGGACAGCAUCAUAUACAAAGAUGUCUGUCCUGACCAGGGCCUCUGGGUAGUCUGGUUCCUGUCUGUGGCCCAACCAUCAUCUUGUGUGAAAAAAAAAAUAAGGUCUGGUCAAUCUCUCCUGCCUAUCAGUUCUUCCCGGACUUCUCUUCAGCUUACUGAAUUAUGUGUGUCAUUUCUGGAUCUAUUCUUAAAGGUCUCCACUCUGAACCUUCUGCAGUUAACCACUCCUGAUGCUUCACUAUCAACUUUUUGGAAGAGUUCCUUCCUCUAGAGUCAAUGAAUGAUCAUUUUGGUUCCUUCUCAGAUUGAGGAGUGAAUGACUAAUGUCAUUGUGACUGCUGCCAUCUAAUUUCUGCAAAAGAAUUCUCUGGCAGUUCUCAUGAUUGGCAUCAUUUCCCAUCAUGUGCAAGCUGUUGGACAGAGAAGACCUGCUUCUGAACUGUCGUGGUAUGGAGAAGAUAUAGAAGUACUGGGUUCCUAGAGCAGUUCAAUGCCUGCUGGGGAGAGGUGACAUUCAAGUGAUGAAGAAAUAGGAGUCUGCACCAUUCGUCAGCCUAGCGAGAAGGCGGCUCUAUGCUCACUUUGAAAGAGGGCAGUGCAAAAGUUACCUAGCGAUGUGAGUACUCUGGGCACGGCGGAGGAGCUUCCCACUGAAUGCGGCACAGCGGCACAGCUGCUGAGGAGAGCAUGGCAACAGCAAGAAAUGGAAUUCACUGAAGAAAGCGCUUGACAAGCCAUGUGAGAACCAGCAAAUUCCAGCAAGAAGAUUAUCAACUACUUUUUCUCCUCGCAUCCCAGUUUACAGAAUGGUUUGUUGUACACAUGCCUUUGUGAAGUCAGCAGGAGCUCAAAAAUCGGUUGGUUUGUUGGUUGUACCUGGAACUAUUCAGCUCUUUGGAGAUGGUGCUGUGGGCUCCCU